UUGAUCCUGGCUCAGAAUCAACGCUGGCGGCGUGCCUAACACAUGCAAGUCGAACGCGAAAGGGGCUUCGGCCCUGAGUAGAGUGGCAAACGGGUGAGUUACACGUGGGUGACCUGCCUUCGAGUGGGGGAUAACGUCUCGAAAGGGACUCUAAUACCGCAUGACAUCCCGCUUUUGGAGAAGGGGAGAUCAAAGCUGGUGAUCCUUCGGGACCUGGCGCUUGAAGAGGGGCCCGCGCCCGAUUAGCUAUUUGGUGGGGUAAUGGCCUACCAAGGCAACGAUCGGUAGCCGGCCUGAGAUGGCGGACGGCCACACUGGGACUGAGACACGGCCCAGACUCCUACGGGAGUCAGCAGUGGGGAAUUGUUCGCAAUGGGCGCAAGCCUGACGACGCAACGCUGCGUGGAGGACGAAGAUCUUCGGGUCGUAAACUCCUGUCGAGCGGGACGUAUAGUUCGCCGGCGAAUAGCCGGCGUUCCUGACGGUACCGCGAGAGGAAUCCCCGGCUAACUCCGUGCCAGCAGCCGCGGUAAUAAGGU
rnacentral:rRNA from 1 species